rnacentral:rRNA from 1 species
UAGUCAUAUGCUUGUCUCAAAAAUUCACUCAUGCAUGUCUAAGUAUAAGCAAUUAUACCGCGAAACUGCAAAGGGCUCAUUAUAUAAGUUAUCGUUUAUUUGAUAUUACCUUACUACUUGGAUAACCGGGGUAAUUCUAGAGCUAAUACAUGCUAAAAAUCCCAACUUCGGAAGGAAUGUAUUUAUUAAAUUAAAAACCAAGGCCCUUCGGGGCUCACUGGUGAUUCAUGAUAACUCCUCAAAUCGCAUGGCCUUGUGCCGGCAAUGGUUCAUUCAAAUUUCUUCCCUAUCAACUUUCAAUGUUUGGGUAUUGGCCAAACAUGGUUGCAACGGGUAAUGGAGGGUUAGGGCUCGACCCCGGAAAAGGAGCCUGAAAAACGGCUACUACAUCCAAGGAAGGCAGCAGGCGCGCAAAUUACCCAAUCCCGACACGGGGAGGUAGUGACAAUAAAUACUGAUACAGGGCUCUUUUGGGUCUUGUAAUUGGAAUGAGUACAAUUUAAAUCCCUUAACGAGAAACAAUU